UAAUCAACACUUACCUCCUCCUCUUCAUCACCACCACCACCGCUAAAAUCGGCUACACUUCCCUCCGAUCCGAUCCGACCCCCGCCCCAUCAUCCCCUUAGACGAAUUCGGCUUCACCCACACCGGCCGACUCGAACUCGACGUCACCAACCUGUCAUUCUCUCAGAUUCCCUCACGUUUGAACUAGUGUUACAUACCGCUUCUAGGGUUUGUGAAAGAAGGUGGGCGGUGGUGGUCAUCUGCAGAUGAGAGAGAGAGAGAGGCGGUGGCGUCGUUGGCCGGAAACAGAGAUAGAGACGAUGGUGACAGUGAUCGAGAUCUGAGUUUGUAGUAAUAGUGAAGGUAUCGAAGAAAAAGUAAAUGGGUAAAUUUGUGAUUAGCGGCUUUGUUGGUGUAAUUAUCGAAUAUGAGAAGUAGAGGAGAAGAUUGCUAGUUGUAACCGAGGUAUUGUUGUUUGCGAUAUUUAUGUUAGGAUUGAGAAUUAUUACCGAAGUUUAUUCGAAAAAGUAAAGAAAAUAAUUGAGU
rnacentral:lncRNA from 1 species